AUACGUAGGUGGCGAGCGUUGUCCGGAUUUACUGGGCGUAAAGGAUGCGUAGGUGGAAACUUAAGUGGGAUGUGAAAUCCCCGGGCUCAACCCGGGAACUGCAUUCCAAACUGGGUUACUUGAGUGCAGGAGAGGAAAGCGGAAUUCCUAGUGUAGCGGUGAAAUGCGUAGAUAUUAGGAAGAACACCAGUGGCGAAGGCGGCUUUCUGGACUGUAACUGACACUGAGGCAUGAAAGCGUGGGGAGCAAACAGGAUUAGAUACCCUGGUAGUCCACGCCGUAAACGAUGGGUACUAGGUGUAGGGGGUAUCAACUCCCCCUGUGCCGUCGUAAACACAGUAAGUACCCCGCCUGGGGAGUACGGUCGCAAGAUUAAA
rnacentral:rRNA from 1 species